CCUACGGGUGGCUGCAAUUAGGAAUCUUGCGCAAUGGGGGCAACCCUGACGCAGCGACGCCGCGUGAAGGAUGAAGGAUUUCGGUCUGUAAACUUCUUUAGCCUGUGAAGAAGAAUGUGACGGUAGCAGGAGAAUAAGCCCCGGCUAACUACGUGCCAGCAGCCGCGGUAAUACGUAGGGGGCGAGCGUUGUCCGAAGUUACUGGGCGUAAAGCGCGCGUAGGCGGUUUGAUAAGUCUGAGGUGAAAGGUUCAACGCUCAACGUGAACAGUGCCU
rnacentral:rRNA from 1 species